ACACGCCCUUACCAGGAUGUACCACUACGAAAUACGUUCGCUGGCCUCUGCAUCUCCAUAUUGCUUCGCUGCGCUUGGCCCGUAUCCGAAUUCGGCUCUCGCGGUGUAUACGCUGGCGGCGGUUGAUCUACUUCGACAGCGGAGGGAGAGGUGUCAGUUUCCAUGACUUUCCGCCUUUUACGACGCACAAAGCAUCCCAAGCAUCUACGUGGGGUGUGCGUAAUGUCAGCGCGGACAUCGCAAAGGGCAAUAUAUAGGAAGUUAACGAAUUGGGGUUCAAGGAGAAGGCCAGCAACACGUACACAAUCAACACCAAUAAUCCGAUGAACACACCUACGAGUGGCCCAAGGAUGUCUUUGCCGGGACAGUAGUGACUGCGGCCAAACUUGUCUCUGCAUCUGUGUGGUUGUUAUGCUGUUAGAUGUAGAAAUGUUUGCCAUGCUGAUUGGGGGUGUUUCGAAAAGAUGGAGAGGGCAGGGAGGGGUUCAUGUAUAUUAUACCUUCUGGCAGUUUGUCGGGGAUAUGUGAAGGAAGUUGAAGAUGGUGUGGACCAAUAGUCAUCCAUACUGGCGAUAUUCUUUUUCAAAAAUGCGUCCCUUUUAAACGGGGGAUAAUAGCCCGCCGGGAAUGUGGGGACAACCUUGUCGUAAUAUAAUCGCAGCGCUUUUAUACGCAAUUCUCUCGCCGCGGAAAUUCAAGCGCAACCCAGCUCAAUUGUGUCAUUGGUGUAAAGCUUCGCCUUGGCCCCAUUCCCCGUAUACAACA
rnacentral:sRNA from 1 species